AUUGAACGCUGGCGGCAGGCUUAACACAUGCAAGUCGAGCGAGCGGCGGACGGGUGAGUAAUGUCUGGGAAACUGCCUGAUGGAGGGGGAUAACUACUGGAAACGGUAGCUAAUACCGCAUACCAUCAGAUGUGCCCAGAUGGGAUUAGCUAGUAGGUGGGGUACUGGCUCACCUAGGCGACGAUCCCUAGCUGGCCUGAGAGGAUGACCAGCCACACUGGAACUGAGACACGGUCCAGACUCCUACGGGAGGCAGCAGUGGGGAAUAUUGCGCAAUGGGCGCAAGCCUGAUGCAGCCACGCCGCGUGUGUGAAGAAGGCCUUCGGAUUGUAAAGCACUUUCAUCGAGGAGGCGUUACUCACAGAAGAAGCACCGGCUAACUCCGUGCCAGCAGCCGCGGUAAUAC
rnacentral:rRNA from 1 species